CCUGAAGCUGCGGAAGGGGCCAGUUCCAAUUGAAUCAUAGGAAUUAAAAGGCGGAGGAUGUUUUAAUAAAAUAAAAGAAAUAUGGUCAUAGAGACAAGAUCAUCUUUACAUUCUACAGAACAUCAGGUAGUCUACUGUAUUUAUGACAUCAAACAAAUUAGAUCUGAUGUCUGGAUGCCAGACUCAGGAUGACUAUUUAUCUGUGACACAAGAAGCAUGAACUGCUCCAAGAAACCCAAAAAUCCCCCAGGCCAUAGCUGAUUUUCUACAAUAUUAUACAUUGCAUCAUACAUAGCACUAAAACUAUUAAGAAAAGCUA